CUUCCCCGGGGAUCCCGGCAAAGCCCUCCGGGAGCACCGACAUUUUGAAUGUGCUGUGGGGCAGGCUUUCCUGAGGCUUGGCAAAACAGAAUAGUUGAUGGAAAGCAAGUAUUUCCUAAAGAGCAUCUACACUGCACUCAGCUUAUGAAGGGACCAGAAAACUUGGUGUAUGGCAUCCUUCGUGUCCUCCUGCCUCUGACAAUGCUUCUCUGCUGGUUGUUUUGAAACUAGGAAAAAAAAA